rnacentral:rRNA from 1 species
UACGUAGGGUGCGAGCGUUAAUCGGAAUUACUGGGCGUAAAGCGUGCGCAGGCGGUUCGUUGUGUCGGCGGUGAAAGCCCCGGGCUUAACCUGGGAAUGGCCGUUGAAACUGGCGAACUGGAGUGUGGCAGAGGGGGGUGGAAUUCCGCGUGUAGCAGUGAAAUGCGUAGAGAUGCGGAAGAACACCAGUGGCGAAGGCGACUCACUGGACACAUAUUGACGCUGAGGUGCGAAAGCGUGGGGAGCAAACAGG